rnacentral:rRNA from 1 species
AUUGAACGCUGGCGGCAGGCUUAACACAUGCAAGUCGAGCGGGGGAAGGUAGCUUGCUACCGGACCUAGCGGCGGACGGGAGAGUAAUGCUUAGGAAUCUGCCUAUUAGUGGGGGACAACAUCUCGAAAGGGAUGCUAAUACCGCAUACGUCCUACGGGAGAAAGCAGGGGAUCACUUGUGACCUUGCGCUAAUAGAUGAGCCUAAGUCGGAUUAGCUAGUUGGUGGGGUAAAGGCCUACCAAGGCGACGAUCUGUAGCGGGUCUGAGAGGAUGAUCCGCCACACUGGGACUGAGACACGGCCCAGACUCCUACGGGAGGCAGCAGUGGGGAAUAUUGGACAAUGGGGGGAACCCUGAUCCAGCCAUGCCGCGUGCGUGAAGAAGGCCUUAUGGUUGUAAAGCACUUUAAGCGAGGAGGAGGCUUACCUAGUUAAUACCUGGGAUAAGUGGACGUUACUCGCAGAAUAAGCACCGGCUAACUCUGUGCCAGCAGCCGCCGUAA